UGGCGCCGUCGUGAGCGGGAGUUUCAUUUGACAUCGGCCGUAGCUCACCAAGGCAGCACAUCGGUUGUCGCUGGAACGACCCGAGGAUGUUCAAGAUAAUCUCUUUCCCGUUUUCGAUGAUACUCUUCGUAAAGAUCAGAGCAGAUGGAGACCGCCUUUCCAUAUCUCGAUGCAACUCGCGAGGGGGAGAAUGCGUCCUACCUGGAGACUGUGCACUCAGUCCUUCAGCCCCUUGUAGUUUCAAUGGG